rnacentral:lncRNA from 1 species
GGAUCACAAGGUCAGGAGAUCGAGCCCAUCCUGGCUAACAUGGUGAAACCCCGUCUCUACUAAAAAUACAAAAAAUUAGCCGGGCGCGGUGGCGGGCACCUGUAGUCCCAGCUACUCGGGAGGCUGAGGCAGGAGAAUGGCUUGAACCCGGGAGGCGGAGCUUGCAGUGAGCCGAGAUUCCGCCACUGCAGUCCGCAGUCCGGCCUGGGCGACAGAGCGAGACUCCG